UGGGGAAUUUUGCACAAUGGGCGCAAGCCUGAUGCAGCAAUGCCGCGUGUGUGAAGAAGGCCCGAGGGUUGUAAACCUCUUUUUUCAGGGAAGAAAUUUGACGGUACCUGAUGAAUAAGCAUCGGCUAACUCCGUGCCAGCAGCCGCGGUAAUACGGGGGAUGCAAGCGUUAUCCGGAAUUACUGGGCGUAAAGCGUCUGUAGGUGGCUUGGUUAGUCUAUUGUUAAAUAUUAGGGCUUAACCCUGAGACAGCAUUAGAAACUUCUAUGCUAGAGUAUGGUAUGGGCAAAGGGAAUUCCCAGUGUAGCGGUGAAAUGCGUAGAUAUUGGGAAGAACACCAGUAGCGAAAGCGCUUUGCUUGGCCUCAGCUGACACUGAGAGACGAAAGCUAAGGUAGCGAAUGGGAUUAGAUACCCCCGUAGUCC
rnacentral:rRNA from 1 species